UACGUAGGGGGCUAGCGUUGUCCGGAAUCAUUGGGCGUAAAGCGCGUGUAGGCGGCCCGGUAAGUCCGCUGUGAAAGUCGGGGGCUCAGCCCUCGGAUGCCGGUGGAUACUGUCGGGCUAGAGUGCGGAAGAGGCGAGUGGAAUUCCUGGUGUAGCGGUGAAAUGCGUAGAUAUCUGGAGGAAUACCGGUGGCGAAGGCGGCAUCCUGGACCGAGAUUGACGCUGAUGAGCGAAAGCUAGGGGAGCAAACGGG
rnacentral:rRNA from 1 species